CUCGGAUCAGGUAGGAAUACCCGCUGAACUUAAGCAUAUCAAAGGGGGGAAGGAA
rnacentral:rRNA from 1 species